CGAUUUCCUCGCACCACAUCCGCUGCAGUCGGUAUGGAUUUCUCCGAUCCAAUGGAAUCAGUAAACUGUAACCGUCUUGCAGCAAUGUUGGAAGGAACUUCAGUCAUCGGCAAUGGCAAUUCACAGUUUUCUUCCUCUGCAUGCAUCACAUCGGUUGAUUGGAACUUCUGGGGCAGAAAGUUACCAAAUGUUAAUGGUUCAAGCUCUUUUGUAAUA
rnacentral:lncRNA from 1 species